rnacentral:rRNA from 1 species
UUCUUCGGAAUGACGAUUUAGUGACUGAGUGGCGGACGGGUGAGUAACGCGUGGGUAACCUGCCUUAUACAGGGGGAUAACAGUUAGAAAUGACUGCUAAUACCGCAUAAGCGCACAGGAUUGCAUGAUCUGGUGUGAAAAACUCCGGUGGUAUAAGAUGGACCCGCGUCUGAUUAGCUGGUUGGUGAGGUAACGGCCCACCAAGGCGACGAUCAGUAGCCGACCUGAGAGGGUGACCGGCCACAUUGGGACUGAGACACGGCCCAAACUCCUACGGGAGGCAGCAGUGGGGAAUAUUGCACAAUGGGGGAAACCCUGAUGCAGCGACGCCGCGUGAGCGAAGAAGUAUUUCGGUAUGUAAAGCUCUAUCAGCAGGGAAGAAAAAAAUGACGGUACCUGACUAAGAAGCCCCGGCUAACUACGUGCCAGCAGCCGCGGUAAUACGUAGGGGGCAAGCGUUAUCCGGAUUUACUGGGUGUAAAGGGAGCGCAGGCGGUGCGGCAAGUCUGAUGUGAAAGCCCGGGGCUCAACCCCGGGACUGCAUUGGAAACUGUCGUACUUGAGUAUCGGAGAGGUAAGUGGAAUUCCUAGUGUAGCGGUGAAAUGCGUAGAUAUUAGGAGGAACACCAGUGGCGAAGGCGGCUUACUGGGCGAUAACUGACGCUGAGGCUCGAAAGCGUGGGGAGCAAACAGGAUUAGAUACCCUGGUAGUCCACGCCGUAAACGAUGA